ACCUUCGUGGAGUAACGGUAGCCCACUCGGCCCUUAUUCGAGAGGUCCGGGUUCGAAUGCCGACGAAGGUA
rnacentral:tRNA from 1 species